rnacentral:rRNA from 1 species
ACGCUGGCGGCGUGCUUAACACAUGCAAGUCGAACGGAAAGGCCCUGCUUUUGUGGGGUGCUCGAGUGGCGAACGGGUGAGUAACACGUGAGUAACCUGCCCUUGACUUUGGGAUAACUUCAGGAAACUGGGGCUAAUACCGGAUAGGAGCUCCUGCUGCAUGGUGGGGGUUGGAAAGUUUCGGCGGUUGGGGAUGGACUCGCGGCUUAUCAGCUUGUUGGUGGGGUAGUGGCUUACCAAGGCUUUGACGGGUAGCCGGCCUGAGAGGGUGACCGGCCACAUUGGGACUGAGAUACGGCCCAGACUCCUACGGGAGGCAGCAGUGGGGAAUAUUGCACAAUGGGCGGAAGCCUGAUGCAGCAACGCCGCGUGCGGGAUGACGGCCUUCGGGUUGUAAACCGCUUUCGCCUGUGACGAAGCGUGAGUGACGGUAAUGGGUAAAGAAGCACCGGCUAACUACGUGCCAGCAGCCGCGGUGAUACGUAGGGUGCGAGCGUUGUCCGGAUUUAUUGGGCGUAAAGGGCUCGUAGGUGGUCGAUCGCGUCGGAAGUGUAAUCUUGGGGCUUAACCCUGAGCGUGCUUUCGAUACGGGUUGACUUGAGGAAGGUAGGGGAGAAUGGAAUUCCUGGUGGAGCGGUGGAAUGCGCAGAUAUCAGGAGGAACACCAGUGGCGAAGGCGGUUCUCUGGGCCUUUCCUGACGCUGAGGAGCGAAAGCGUGGGGAGCGAACAGGCUUAGAUACCCCUGGUAGUCCACGCUGUAAACGGUGGGUACUAGGUGUGGGGUCCAUUCCACGGGUUCCGUGCCGUAGCUAACGCUUUAAGUACCCCGCCUGGGGAGUACGGCCGCAAGGCUAAAACUCAAAGGAAUUGACGGGGCCCCGCACAAGCGGCGGAGCAUGCGGAUUAAUUCGAUGCAACGCGUAGAACCUUACCUGGGUUUGACAUGGAUCGGGAGUGCUCAGAGAUGGGUGUGCCUCUUUUGGGGUCGGUUCACAGGUGGUGCAUGGCUGUCGUCAGCUCGUGUCGUGAGAUGUUGGGUUAAGUCCCGCAACGAGCGCAACCCUUGUUCACUGUUGCCAGCACGUUAUGGUGGGGACUCAGUGGAGACCGCCGGGGUCAACUCGGAGGAAGGUGGGGAUGACGUCAAGUCAUCAUGCCCCUUAUGUCCAGGGCUUCACGCAUGCUACAAUGGCUGGUACAGAGAGUGGCGAGCCUGUGAGGGUGAGCGAAUCUCGGAAAGCCGGUCUCAGUUCGGAUUGGGGUCUGCAACUCGACCUCAUGAAGUCGGAGUCGCUAGUAAUCGCAGAUCAGCAACGCUGCGGUGAAUACGUUCCCGGGGCUUGUACACACCGCCCGUCAAGUCAUGAAAGUUGGUAACACCCGAAGCCGGUGGCCUAACCGUUGUGGGGGAGCCGUCGAAGGUGGGACUGGUGAUUAGG